rnacentral:lncRNA from 1 species
CCUUAUAGGUGGAGCAUACUUCCUCAAUCCACUGACCUGAAUCUUGACCAUGUGGCUUACAUUGUCCAGUGAAAUAUAAGGAGAAGUUCAGUGUGACAGUGAGGAGUGCAGACUUUCAGAUGCAAUGAGUGUUUCUUCUCGUUGUUCUGUGCUCCUGUCCUGCACCAUAAGAGCAUGUCCCAGGUCAUCAUGUUCUUUUGACCAGGCUCCUGGAAUGAGAGACGCUUGGAGCUGACCUGAACUGGACCUCUAGAAGCAGAGAUGCUGAGAACAUCUGCAGAUACAUGAUGGAUUGAGCAGUCCCUGAGUCAUAUACUCUACCAGAGAAUGAAUGAUGUCUGGUAAAUAAGAUGAUGAAUCUGACACAUAAAAGUACUGAGGGCCCAGUCAAGGCAAUAUCACUGGCUGUGAAAUGCUGAAGAGAAUCAGUUGAAAGAGAAAGAAGAAUGAAUUGGAAAAGCAAAUACUUCUGUGUUCUACUGUCAAAUGUGAUGCAUUCAAAUAAGGGAUGUUAUGACAGAAAAAACAAAUCUUCCUCAACUUGUCCACAUCAGUUCCAUUCCCUCAUUUAUAGGGAAGCUUGAGGAAUGUUUAGUGAAAUGCUGGCAAAUAGACUUCAAGAGAAAGUCUAAUUAGUAAUGUUUUUUCUUCUAAGGUAAGUAGAGAAAAAAAGGUAAUUAUGGAAACCCCAAGUUUCGUUCUCAAAUUUAAGCCCAACUUAAAUAUAGUUUAAGGUCUUUCUUCCUUUAAACUCACCACUCUUACUGCUUUUUGAUUUUGUGGUGGUUCAUCCAUAUUAAUGUACCUAAUGACAGGCACUCUGAAAAGGUGAGAAUGAAUUCUUUUCCUUUGACAUAUCAGCUGAGGAUGAUGUUACAAAGCAUGUCUUUCAAUGUGUAUCUGCAUGGACUCCGGGUCUGAGAGAAUGAUAUAUACUUCUACUUUAUGCCUGCAAGAUUCAAAAGGCCUUUUCAAAUAUUCAUGUCUUUUUCUUUUUCCUUUUUAUUCUCUGCUGGUAUGUGUUAUGUGAUGAGAAGAAUGUCAGAGUCUCUGGAGUCUUAUUUUUAAGUUUUAGGCUUGCCUGAGGGGGGAAAUAUAUUGGAAAUUUGCUGGUCAAGCUGUUCACAUUUUCUCAUAACAUGUCUAAUAAUUGCAAUGCAGUUUGUUCAAAUAAUUUAGUCAGGAUUUGCAUACUUAGCAUGAUUGACUCUGAAGUGAGUUAUUGGGCAGUGCCUGGCAUUCAAUCAGUAACACCUGAGGAGAACAUUGCCUUUGUGUUGCAACCAAGAAGAAGUUAAAAAAGGCACAGAGAUGAGGGAUCUUUUUUUUAUAAGGGGAAUUCUGAUCAUUCUUCUCUGAUCUUGUUUUCAACUUGUGUCUUAAUUUCUUCAUAUUUGAUGCCUCAAGUUAAUAGGAUUUGUAUUGCCAUAGGCACUAUUGCCAUUUCAUAUGCUGUAUUAGGGAAGCGGAGUUGCUGAUUAGAAAAGUGAUAAUGCAACUUCCUCUUCUUUCUAAAUUAACCUUGGAGUGGAAGGGAAAUGCAUUCAUGAUUUUGUUAUUAUACUCACUAGUAUUGGCGGUUGUUUGUCCUUUUUAUUUUCUGUGGUUUUGAAAACUUAACAUAUACAUCCAUGGAGUAUAUUACUUAGUGUCUUUUUCUUCCAUCACAUUUCUGGACUAACUUUUGAAAAAAUAUUUUGCUUUUAAUUUUCAUCAGCUUCUGAGGCUCAUCUAUCUCCAAAUCAACCAGGAAAAAAAAGUAGAAGAAAAUCACCAGCUGUUGGGAAAGUUAUUUAGAGGAUGUUAGCCAGAUUAAUCUUUACAUAAUAAUUAUGAAUUAGUAACGUUUCUCCUCCAUAAAAUCCACAUAUUUAGUGAGCUUCAGAGAACAUAGAAGAGGCAAGAGAAAAUGACAGUGAAGUGAUGUAUUAGCCAUGGCUCUCUAGAGGGACAAGACUAAUAAGAUAGACAUAUAUAUGAAAGGGAGUUUAUUAAGGAGUAUUGACUGACACAGUCACAAGGUGAAGUCCCACAAUAGGCCGUCUGCCAUCUGAGGACCAAGGAAGCCAGCCCAAGUCCCCAAACCUCAAAAGUAGGAAAACCAACAGUGCAGCCUUCAGCCUGUGGCCAAAGGCCCGGGAGACCCUGGUAAACCACUGUAUAGGUCCAAGAGUCCAAAAGCUGAAGAACCUGGAGUCCGAUAUUCAAGGGCAGGAAGCAUCCAGCAUGGGAGAAAGAUGAAGGCCGGAAGACUCAGCCAGUCUAGUCCUUCCACGUUCUGUCUGCUUUAUUCUAGCUAUUCUGGCAGCUGAUUAGAGAUCGUGCCCACCCAGUUUGAGGGUGGGUCUGCCUCUCCCAGUCCACUGACUCAAAUGUUAAUCUCCUUUGGCAACACCCUCAAAGACACACCCAGGGACAAUACUUUGCAUUCUUCAAUCCAAUUAAGUUGACAGUAUUAACCAUCACAAGUGCUUCAUCAUGUUAUAAUAAAACAGAAUUAUGGCUUCAAGGACCCGCAGUCUUUAAAACUACCCACACAAAAGAUAAAAGGGAACUAAAAUUAUAAUUUCCCAAGGAUUAACAGUAUAAGCUUCAUUCUAAGUGAAUUAAAUAAUUUGUCAAUUUCCUCUUCAUACUGAAAGUAACCAUACUAGGAUAUAACAUGUGUUGGAAAAGUGAUUACAAAUGACUCAAAUCAGUGCCCUAAAAUUUCAAACAAAUUCCCACUAUUGAUACAUAAGGAAUCCACAUUGGGAUUAGCAGUAUUAUUCACUUAUGCAAAAAUAUCUUUUGACAUGAGGUGAAAACAUAACCUCUGAACACAGUCAUUCUUUUAGGUUUUCAGUGGGAAUUGUGCCUAAGUGAUUAGGAAAGGAUAUGGUCCAAUAAAUAAACUGAAAAUUUUGUAACAAGUGGUAGAGUAAUACAUAUUAAUUCUGAACAGAUUGACACUGUAAUUUGGGAUAAAAACCAUAAUGAUUACAGAACACAGUCAGUGUAAGUCUGAUGGACUAGAACAGAUGUGUCCACCUGUUUAGGGUCCAGCUCUGCUUCACUUGGGCUGCAUAACACUAGCUAUUUGGAAAGGCAUACAGGUUAGGAAACAGAAAAUAUAUUGGAUUCUGGAUCAAUUUUUGUUCUUCUAUGUAACAAUUAACGUCAAAAAGACAGAGCACACCAAAGGCUAAAAUAAAAGAAAGUCUAGAGGAGAUGUAAACAUUAUUACAUGCCUUUCAUUGGAGAUAAUUUGGAAACCUUCAUAAAGAGAUUUUCAAGGUCAGGAGUGUGUAAUAGAUUCAAACUGUUUUUGUUUUUCUAACAUCAACAAAUCUUGUAUAAAUUAACUCAAUCGGAGUUUUUUUAAAAUGCUAAACUGAAGAAAGAUGGAAAGAGACUCCAAUAUUAUAAUGUUCAUGCCUAGGGGCACUCCAUAUAUCCAAUACCAAGUAAGACUAGGCUUUUGUGAAUAUUUAUCACUUGAAAUCAUGGGGAAAAUACUUUUUUCUUGACAGAAUAUGCCCCAGGUUUAAAGAUUAUACUGUACAUCAUUAAGGGGUAAUUUUAUUUUUUCUUAAGGUAGAAGGAGAUAUCAGUACUAUAAUAAUAAAUCUGCCUCUUUGUUAUAAGAAAAGUUUAAUGUGUGGUCAUAAACAUUGUUUGUUUUAAAGACAGAUUGUUAUAGAUGUAUUAUUAAAAAUAUCCAUCCUGUCUGUACUCUUUAUACUUUCUUACUUAAAUUUAUUAACAAAAUUGGGUAUAUGUGUGCCAUUCUUUCUCUGUUGUCUCUGCCAUCCUCUGGAUAUUUAGCCAAUCCUUAACCUAAAAAGCCUUUGUCAUUAUAAGGGUAAAACAUCAUUUUGUUAUAUCUUAAUAUAGAGAAACCAGUCUUCUAGCUCAUUUAUAAUCUUCAAAUGUGUUUGUUGGAGAUGUUUUGUAUUCGUUAAUUUAUUUGAUUUUUUGUAUAAUAAUUUCCCUCCAAAUAAGGUUUUCAAAUUUCAUAAUGAGAAGAACACAGGUUAGUUUAGAGUACUGUAGAUAUAUUCUUGUCAAAGAUAUCAACUGGGUAAAAUGCUAUCGGAAACAUCCAAGAAGUUUAAAAAGUUUUGUUGGCCAGGUGUGGUGGCUCAUGCCUGUAAUUCCAGCACUUUGGGAGGCCGAGGUGGGCAGAUAAUUUGAAGUCAGAAGUGUCAGACCAGCCUGGCCAACAUGGCGAAACCCCUUCUCUACUAAAAAUACAAACAUUAGCUGGGUGCAGUGGCAGGUGCCUGUAAUCCCAGCUACUUGGUAAGCUGAGGCAGGAGAAUUGCUUGAACCUGGGAGGCAGAGGUUGCAGUGAGCUGAGAUCACGCCACUGCACUCCGGCCUGGGUGACAAGAGUGAAACUCUGUCUCAAAAUAAAUAAACAAACAAACAAAUAAAAUAAAUAGAUAAAUAAAUAAAUAAAUAAAUAAAAUUUUGUCUUCCUUGCUUGCCAUUUCUUAUAAUCAGAAAAACUAGAGAAACAUCUUUCAACAUAGUCUAUAUGCAGUACCAGAUUUGACAGAAUUUGUAUUAUCCAAAAACUCUAGUGGGUAAAUGGCAUUAUAGUUUAUAAUGAGAAUAUUUUGUCAUACUCUUUGCACUCAAGGAAGUGUAAAAAUUUAACAGAUAUACAAAAAGGAAGAGAAAACUAAUAUAAAUAGAUGAGAGAUCUGCAAGUGUCCCAUCCAUUUAGAGGGCCAAAACAGUGAUUGAUUUCAGGGCAAUUAUGUAUUUGCUAUAAAUUCCUGUUUUGAGGUCAAAAAAUUAAAAGUGUUCAGAAAAAUUGAUGUAGUUUAUGCAAUUCUGGACAUAGUACAUUUUAUCUUAUCAGUGUUAUUUUAUAAUAUUCAGAGUAGAUAUAUUAAAAAUAAUAAAAUCAUGACCUAAUGACUACAUUACUGUGUAAUUACAGAUGCAACAUAUUAUAGUGGAUGACUAAAGACUUUUUAGAUUCUGUAGUUGUUUAAAUUCAGUAGUUUCAAAUUCUGACUGUGUAUCAGCUGGGAAACUUUUAAACAAUACUGAUGUCUUGGUGCCUAGCUCCCGUAUCCCCACCCUCCCACUCAUGGAUUGUCAUACAAUUGACCUGAGGUGGGGCCCAGGCAUUAAUUUUUUUUUUGAACUUUUAUUUUAAGUUCAUGGGUACAUGUACAGUUUCUUUACCUAGUUAAGCUUAUGUCAUGUGCAUCCAACAAAGGUCUAAUAUCCAGCAUCUGUAAGGAACUUAAACACAUUUUCAAGAAAAAACAAACAGCCCCAUAAAAAAGUGGGCAAAGACUUGAACAGGCAUUGAUUUUCUUUCUUUUUUUUUUUUAUUAUACUUUAAGUUCUAGGGUACAUGUGCACAACGUGCAGGUUUGUUACAUAGGUAUACAUGCGCCAUGUUGGUUUGCUGCACCCAUCAACUCGUCAUUUACAUUAGGUAUUUCUCCUAAUGCUAUCCCUCCCCUAGCCCCCCACCCCACGACAGGCCCCCGGUGUGUGAUGUUUGCUGCCCUGUGUCCAAGUGUUCUCAUUCUUCAGUUCCCACCUAUGAGUGAUAACAUGCAGUGUUUGGUUUUCUGUCCUUGUGAUAGUUUGCUGAGAAUGAUGGUUUUCAGCUUCAUCCAUGUCCCUGUAAAGGACAUGGACUCAUCCUUUUUUAUGGCUGCAUAGUAUUCCAUGGUGUAUAUGUGAAAUAUUUUCUUUAUCCAGUUUAUCAUUGAUGGGCAUUUGGGUUGGUUCCAAGUCUUUGCUAUUGUGAAUAGUGCCACAAUAAAUAUACGUGUGCAUGUGUCUUUAUAGUAGCAAGAUUUAUAAUCCUUUGGGUAUAUACCCAGUAAUGGGAUGGCUGGGUCAAAUGGUAUUUCUAGUUCUAGAUCCUUGAGGAAUCGCCACACUGUGGUUGAACUAAUUUACACUCCCAUCAACAGUGUAAAAGUGUUCCUAUUUCUCCACAUCCUCUCCAGCACCUGUUGUUUCCUGACUUUUUAAUGAUCACCAUUCUAACUGGUGUGAGAUGGUAUCUCACUGUGGUUUUGAUUUGCAUUUCUCUGAUGGCCAGUGAUGAUGAGCAUUUUUUCAUGUGUCUGUGGGCUGCAUAAAUGUCUUCUUUUGAGAAAUGUCUGUUCAUAUCCUUUGCCCACUUUUUGAUGGGGUUGUUUGCCUUUUUUGUAAAUUUGUUUAAGUUCUUUGUAGAUUCUGGAUAUUAGCCCUUUGUCAGAUGGGUAGACUGCAAAAAUUUUCUCCCAUUCUGUAGGUGAACAGGCAUUGAUUUUCUAAGAGCUCUUUUGGUCAUUACAUUGUGAAGCCAGGGUUGAGAAAUAAUUAUCUUCAUUUUUCUGUUCCUAAAUUGGGUUAACUGGAGCCAUUUCUCCUUAUAUCGAUGAGAUCUUAUGAGAAACAGUUAAUAAAAUAUCUUCACAUACAUUUGUGUAACAUUUUAUGGUUGUCAAAAAGAGUUUCAAAUCUAUUGGAGGUACACUAGGUAAUUAAAGACUACAACAGAGGUAAAUACGUUUUUUGGAAAGAUCACUUGUCUAAAUCUUGGUGGUGUCAGUGAAUACUUCCUGGGGAAAGAGACUACAAAUCUUUGGCAUGAAAUGCAAAUUGGGGUUCAAGGUUAAUCUGUGCAGAAACGCAUGUCAGUAUUCCAUUCCUUUUUAUGGUCAAAUAAUAUUCCAUGGUAUGAAUAAUCCACAAGAAUUUAGUCACAGAAAACCACAUAUUAUAUGAUUCCACUUAUAUGAAAUAUCUGGAAGAGACAAAUCUAUAGAGACAGAAAGUUGAUUAACAGUUGCAUAGAACUGGGCUGUAAGGGGUAUGGGGAGAUUGGUAAGUAACAGCUAAUGAGUACAGAGUUUCACUUUGUAGUGAUUACGAAGUUCUAAAAGUGAUGGUUGAACUUAUCUGUAAAUAUACUAAAAACCAUUGAAUUAUGCAGUUUAAAUGGGCAAAUUAUACAUCCUGUGAAAUAUAUCUCAAUAAAGUUGUUCUGAAAAACAAGUAGGCUUGCAAGACCAGAUGAGUGAGAGCACUGUAUCUGGAGGGAGAAAUCUCAGAAAGCAAGGAGAGUUUAGAAACUGGUAAGUAGCUCCAGAUGGCUGGCACAUAGGGUUAGAGAAGGGUCCCAGAGGUGGUUAGAAGUGAAGCUAAAUAAAACAAAUGGGUCUGAUCAUGAAAGAUAUGUUUAGCCUUUAAAUUUUUAAAAGUUGUGGUAAAAUAUAUACAACAUUUAUCGUCUUAACCAUUUUUAGUGGGUAGUUCAGUAGUGUUAAAUAUAUUCACAUUAUCGUGCAAUCCAAUAUCUGGAACUGUUUUAUCUCACAAUACUGAAACUCUAUGUCUGUUAAAUAACAAUUCCCCAUCUCCUCCUGCCCUAGCCCCAGGGAAGUAUGGUGACUAUAUAUCAUCAAAUAAAAAAUGUCAACAAAGAGACAGAAAUUGUUAGAAAGAACCAAGUGAAAGUUUUGAAAUUGAAAAGUGAAAUAAGAGUGAUUAGAAAAUCACUAGAUGACCUCAAUAGUAGGUUUUAGCAUUAAAGAAAUAAUUAGUGAAUUUGAGGAUAAAUGAUUAGAAAUGAGGCCAUGUGAGUAGGAGAGAGAAAAAACAAUGAAAACUUGUUCACAGAGACACAAUCAUUCUACCAUAAAGACAUAUGCACACGUAUGUUCAUGACAGCACUAUUCACCAUAGAAAAGACAGAGAAUCAACCUAAAUGCCCAUCAGUGGUAGAUUGGAUAAAGAAAAGGUAGUACAUAUACAGCAUGGUAUAAUAUGCAGCCAAAGAAAUGAAUGAGAUCAUGUCCUUUGCAGCAACAUGAAGGAGCUAGAGGUCAUUAUUCCAAGUGAACUAACAUAGGAACAGUAAACCAAAUGCUGCAUGUUCUCACUUGUAAUUGCAAGCUAAACACUGAGUACAUAUGGACACAAAGAAGGGAACAACAGACAGUGGGGCCUUCUUGAGGGUGGAUGCUGGGAGAAAGGUGAGGAUCGAAAAACUACCUAUCAAUCAGGUUACUAUGCUCAUCACUUGGGUAAUGAUCUGUACAGCAAACCCUUGUGAUGCACAAUUGACCUGUAUAACAAACCUGCACAUGUACUCCUGAACCUAAAAUAGAAGUUAAAAAAUAAAGAAGAAAUUUGCAAAAAACCCACCAGAGACUCAGAGAAAUGUGGGAUGGACCAUUAAGUCCAUCCAUAUAUGCGUAAUGAGAGUACCAAAAGAGAGAGCAUGAAAGGGACAGAAGAAAACAUUCUAUGAAAAAAAUGGCUAAAAACUUCCUGAAUGUGAGGAAAACUAGUAAUUUACAUAUCCAAGAAGCUAAAUAACUCCAAGCAGAAUAAAUGCAAAAAACAAAAUCAUAACUAUAUACACUGCAGCCAAAAUAUUAAAAGUCAAAAAGAAAGAGAAUAUCUUUAAAGCUCUAAGAGAAAAACAACUCAUCAUGUACAGGAAAAUCACAAUAAGAUUAAUAGUAAAUUCUUCUGAAAAUAAUAGAGGCCAGAGGCAAUGAGAUGACAAAGUGAUGAAGUUAAAACAAAAUAAAA